rnacentral:rRNA from 1 species
UUUGAUGGCGACCGGCGCACGGGUGAGUAACACGUAUCCAACCUGCCGAUGACUCGGGGAUAGCCUUUCGAAAGAAAGAUUAAUACCCGAUGGCAUAGUUCUUCCGCAUGGUAGAACUAUUAAAGAAUUCGGUCAUCGAUGGGGAUGCGUUCCAUUAGGUUGUUGGCGGGGUAACGGCCCACCAAGCCUUCGAUGGAUAGGGGUUCUGGGAGGAAGGUCCCCCACAUUGGAACUGAGACACGGUCCAA